rnacentral:misc_RNA from 1 species
GAUGAAGAACGUAGCGAAAUGCGAUAAGUAAUGCGAAUUGCAGAAUUCAGUGAAUCAUCGAAUCUUUGAACGCAAAUUGCGCCCGCUAGUAUUCUGGCGGGCAUGCCUGUCUGAGCGUCAUUUCAACCCUCGCCCCCGGCUUUUGCUGGGAGCGGUGUUGGGGAUCGGCCGCCCGUCACUGGGAGGCCGGCCCCGAAAUAGAGUGGCGACCACGCCGUGUGCUCCUCUGCGUAGUAGUAAAUCACCUCGCAGGCGGACAGCGGUGCGGCCUGCCGUAAAACCCCCCACUCUUUCUGGUUGACCUCAGAUCAGGUAGGAAUACCCGCUGAACUUAAGCAUAUCAAUAAGCGGAGGA